rnacentral:rRNA from 1 species
UACGUAGGGUGCGAGCGUUAAUCGGAAUUACUGGGCGUAAAGCGUGCGCAGGCGGUUGUGCAAGACCGAUGUGAAAUCCCCGGGCUUAACCUGGGAAUGGCAUUGGUGACUGCACGGCUAGAGUGUGUCAGAGGGGGGUAGAAUUCCACGUGUAGCAGUGAAAUGCGUAGAUAUGUGGAGGAAUACCGAUGGCGAAGGCAAUCCCCUGGACCUGUACUGACGCUCAUGCACGAAAGCGUGGGGAGCAAACAGG